rnacentral:rRNA from 1 species
ACUCAAAGGAAUAGACGGGGGCCCGCACAAGCGGUGGAGUAUGUGGUUUAAUUCGACGCAACGCGAAGAACCUUACCAAGGUUUGACAUCCCUCUGACAAGAUUAGAGAUAAUCUCUCCCUUCGGGGCAGAGGAGACAGGUGGUGCAUGGUUGUCGUCAGCUCGUGUCGUGAGAUGUUGGGUUAAGUCCCGCAACGAGCGCAACCCUUAUGUUUAGUAGCCAGCACGUAAAGGUGGGUACACUAAAGAGACUGCCGUGGAUAACACGGAGGAAGGUGGGGAUGACGUCAAAUCAUCAUGCCCCUUAUAUCUUGGGCUACACACGUACUACAAUGGCUCAUACAGAGUGAAGCAAAGCUGUGAAGCGGAGCAAAACACAAAAAAGAGCCCCAGUUCGAAUUGCAGGCUGCAACUCGCCUGCAUGAAGUCGGAAUCGCUAGUAAUCGCAAAUCAGCAUGUUGCGGUGAAUACGUUCCCGGGCCUUGUACACACCGCCCGU